rnacentral:misc_RNA from 1 species
GACAGUUAUGUUGGAUUGGAUGCGGCUGCAGCAGAAGAUAUGGAUGAUUCGGAUUUAAGCAAACCAAUUUUCAGUUCUGUUUAUAAGGAUACAUUCCACCGGAAAUUGGAAGAUAACCAAAACCAAAAUGCACCAAGGAUGCCUAGUAAGGAACCUUUGGAAGAAGUAAAAGAAGUGUCUAAGCCUAUAAAACCUCUUCGGCAUCGAUAUGGUCGGAUAACAGGUGAAAUUAUGAGACGAAGGAAUAGAACCAGUGAUUUAUCAAUGCUUGAGAGACUAGCAGACGAGGCCUGGACUUUGGGUUUGAGGGCAUGGAAAGAAGUAGAGAAUUAUGAUGGAAAGGAGCUUGCACAAAAUUCUGUAUUUGAGGGGAAGUCUGAGUCAUGCCCCUCAUGGGCAUCCAUGAGCGGGGAGGAAUUGGCUGGGGGGGAUAAGAUGAUGUUCCUUCCAUGUGGUUUAGC